rnacentral:sRNA from 1 species
AUCAACUUUCGAUGGUAGGAUAGAGGCCUACCAUGGUGGUAACGGGUAACGGGGUGUUAGGGCACGACACCGGAGAGGGAGCCUGAGAAACGGCUACCACAUCCAAGGAUGGCAGCAGGCGCGCAAAUUACCCAAUCCCGACACGGGGAGGUAGUGACAAUAAAUAACCAUACGGGGUUCUUUUGGAUUUCGUAAUUGGAAUGAGUACAAUUUAAAUCUCUUAACGAGGAACAAUUGGAGGGCAAGUCUGGUGCCAGCAGCCGCGGUAAUUCCAGCUCCAAUAGCGUAUAUUAAAGUUGCUGCAGUUAAAAAGCUCGUAGUUGAAUUUCGGGACCAUCAUGUCGGUCGUGCCUAGGUACGUACUGGCAUUGUUGGUUUCUCCCUUCUGACGAACCAUGAUGUCAUUUAUUUGGUGUUGUGGGGAAUCAGGACUGGUACUUUGAAAAAAUUAAAGUGGUUAAAGCAAGCUCACGCUUGAAUACAUUAACAUGGAAUAAUGAAAUAAGACGUUUGAUUCUAUUUUGUUGGUUUCUAGGAUCGACGUAAUGAUUAAUAAGGAUAGUUGGGGGCAUUAGUAUUCAAUUGGCAGAAGUGAAAUUCUUGGAUUUAUUGAAGACUAACUACUGCGAAAGCAUUUGCCAAGGAUGUUUUCAUUAAUCAAGAACGAAAGUUAGGGGAUCGAAGACGAUCAGAUACCGUCGUAAUCUUAACCAUAAACUAUGCCGACUAAGGAUCGGAUGAUGUUAAUUUUUUAAUGACUCAUUCCGCGCCUUACGGGAAACCAAAGUGUUUGGGUUC